ACAGAAAUUUCUGACUGAAGAUAGAAAUUUUAGAAAUAUGUGUUCCUAUAAUGAUUUGGAUUUGAAAUGUCUCCCUUCAAAGUUCAAUUCAGCAAUAUUCAGAGGUCAAAUAGAUAAGUACAUCUCUGAAUAUGGAUAACUGAUCUUCUUCAGAAGAUAGACUAUACUUUCAUCUGUUUCAGGGCCAUUGUGUUUGCUUUUUGUAAACUGUUUCCUGCUAUUCAACAGUGAUGAGAUUUACAUCAAGUCACUCACCAUAGGUGUUAUUGUUCUUCAUGGUAAAGCAAUCUAGACUCUGAUAAGUUUUCUAAGUAUUUUAAAGCUACUGCUCAGCUGUCUUCUGCUUUGCAUAAUUGCUUACAAAAAGACUGCUUUCA